rnacentral:rRNA from 1 species
GCAUAUCAAUAAGCGGAGGAAAAGAAAAUAACAAUGAUUCCCCUAGUAACGGCGAGUGAAGAGGGAUAAGCUCAAAUUUUAAAUCUGAUCGGUUUUACUUAUCAGAAUUGUAAUUUGAAGAAACGUUUUCUGUGUCUUGAAUUAGCCUAAAUCUUUUGGAACAAGGUAUCAUGGAGGGUGACAAUCCCGUUCAUGGUUAAUUUUAAGAUGCGUUACGAUACGUUUUCAAAGAGUCGAGUUGUUUGGGAUUGCAGCUCAAAAUGGGAGGUAAAUUUCUCCUAAAGCUAAAUAUUGGCGAGAGACCGAUAGCGAACAAGUACCGUGAGGGAAAGAUGAAAAGAACUUUGAAAAGAGAGUUAAAAAGUAUGUGAAAUUGUUGAAAGGGAAACGAUUGAAGUCAGUCGUGCAGUCAUCAAUUCAGCGGUUAACAUUUUAUGUUUCCGUGUAAUUUGGUGUCUGUUGGUUAGCAUCAAUUUUGAUUGUCAUAAAAAGGUUAAGGGGAUGUGGCUCCUUCAGGAGUGUUAUAACCCUUAGCGUAAUGUGACGAUUAGGAUUGAGGUUUGCAACGAAUACCUUUUAGGGCAGUUUCACCUGGCCUCUCGUGGAAUUAUAGAUAGUUAAGAGCAUGCUCUUACUGUCUAUGAUUUUAUGAAAAGGUUGGAGUGUAAAACUAAUUCGUUAAGGAUGUUGACGUA